rnacentral:lncRNA from 10 species
UAUUGCUAUGUUGCCCAGGCUGGUCUCGAACUCCUGAGCUCACAUCAUCUGCCAGCCUUGGCCUCCCAAAGAGUUGAGAUUACAGGUGUGAGCCACCGGUGUCCGCCCUGAAGGACUUUUUCCACCAGCUCUAAAUGCAUGUGCUUUUGUGGUUGCAGUUUGGUACUAAGAAUGCCCUUAGAAACCAUGUGCUGAAGAUGGCAGUGCUUUUGUCAGCCUGGGUUCCUGAAUAACUGCAUGGAACAGAGCCUUUACCAUAUACCCCAACCCCAAACAAAGAACACCUUCAUUGGACUAUUACACAAUUUAAAAAAAGAAAAUCAUGGGAGGAGGAGCCAAGAUGGCCGAAUAGGAACAGCUCCGGUCUACAGCUCCCAGCGUGAGCGACGCAGAAGACGGGUGAUUUCUGCAUUUCCA